GACGAACGUUGGCGGCGUGCUUAAUACAUGCAAGUCAACUGAAGCAGUGGUAGCAAUAUCGCUGUGGAGGUGGCGCACGGGUGAGUAACACGUAGGUAAUCUGCCUUCAGGUCUGGCAUAACUCCGGGAAACCGGGGCUAAUAGCAGAUGAUGCAGCGGCUCGACAUCGAGACAGUUGUUAAAGCUAUGGCGCCUGAAGAUGAGCCUGCGUCUGAUUAGCUAGUUGGCGGGGUAACGGCCCACCAAGGCUACGAUCAGUAGCUGGUCUGAGAGGAUGAUCAGCCACACUGGAACUGAGACACGGUCCAGACUCCUACGGGAGGCAGCAGUAAGGAAUAUUGCUCAAUGGGAGAAAUCCUGAAGCAGCAACGCCGCGUGAGGGACGAAGGGCUUUUGCUUGUAAACCUCUGUAGUGAGAGAAAAAAAUCCCAAUCUUUGGGACAUGAUGGUAUCUCAAAAGUAAGCCCCGGCUAACUACGU
rnacentral:rRNA from 1 species